rnacentral:rRNA from 1 species
UACAGAGGGAGCGAGCGUUGUUCGGAAUUACUGGGCGUAAAGGGCGCGUAGGCGGCCUUCUAAGUCGAACGUGAAAUCCCUGGGCUCAACCCAGGAACUGCGUCCGAUACUGGAAGGCUUGAAUCCGGGAGAGGGAUGUGGAAUUCCAGGUGUAGCGGUGAAAUGCGUAGAUAUCUGGAGGAACACCGGUGGCGAAGGCGACAUCCUGGACCGGUAUUGACGCUGAGGCGCGAAAGCCAGGGGAGCAAACGGG